AAAACAUCUAAGGGUAAAUUUAAAGUCAGAAUUUCAAUAAAAAAUAAAAAAUUAAGGAACAGUUUAGUACAUUUCAGCCUGUAAAUAAGGUUCAUUUUUAUAAUGUAUCUCUCAAUGCAUUUAUAAAUAUUUGACAGUUUUAACAUUUAGAUGAUUCUCUCUUCCAUGCAACAUACGGGUAGGUAAGUAGUCCGUCCUAGCGACAAACACAUAUAGGGACAUGGAACAAGUCCAUGAGCGUAUUUGAUAAUGGAAAAUUCAAAAAUGCGCACCAAACGCAGCACAGAAGAACGAGAAUUUGUUUUGUUUGUGUUACUUAUAUUUUUUGUGUUUUUUUUUUAUAAUUGGUAUAAAAAAGAAGAUGUGGUAUGAUUGCCAAUGAGACAACUAUCCACAAUAGACCAAAAUGACACAGACAUUAACAACUAUAGGUCACCGUACGGCCUUCAACAAUGAGCAAAGCCAACACCGCAUAGUCAGCUAU
rnacentral:lncRNA from 1 species